GAUGAACGCUGGCGGCGUGCCUAAUACAUGCAAGUCGAGCGAACGGACGAGAAGCUUGCUUCUCUGAUGUUAGCGGCGGACGGGUGAGUAACACGUGGAUAACCUACCUAUAAGACUGGGAUAACUUCGGGAAACCGGAGCUAAUACCGGAUAAUAUUUUGAACCGCAUGGUUCAAAAGUGAAAGACGGUCUUGCUGUCACUUAUAGAUGGAUCCGCGCUGCAUUAGCUAGUUGGUAAGGUAACGGCUUACCAAGGCAACGAUGCAUAGCAGACCUGAGAGGGUGAUCGGCCACACUGGACCUGAGACACGUUCCAGACUCCUACGGGAGGCAGCAGUAGGGAAUCUUCCGCAAUGGGCGAAAGCCUGACGGAGCAACGCCGCGUGAGUGAUGAAGGUCUUCGGAUCGUAAAACUCUGUUAUUAGGGAAGAACAUAUGUGUAAGUAACUGUGCACAUCUUGACGGUACCUAAUCAGAAAGCCACGGCUAACUACGU
rnacentral:rRNA from 1 species